rnacentral:lncRNA from 1 species
CAAGAUUUGAUAUGUUUGGCAUCCGAUUCUGUUUUUACUUCAAUCAGAUUAGCCAUUAAAUUCCAUACAUGAUUCUCGAAUCUUUUUGACUAAAUCUGGAUCUUGGUAUUGUUACUUUUCAUUUUGCUGCUUUUGUAGAUUUGGUUUUCUUGUUUCUGAUACAUUUGAUUCCACUCUUCUUUUUUACCCCAUUUGCUUCUGCGUGGUGUCUUAUCCUGAAAAUUCUAUUCCUUC